rnacentral:rRNA from 1 species
GAUGAACGCUAGCUACAGGCUUAACACAUGCAAGUCGAGGGGAAACGACAUCGAAAGCUUGCUUUUGAUGGGCGUCGACCGGCGCACGGGUGAGUAACGCGUAUCCAACCUGCCCAUCACUUGGGAAUAACCUUGCGAAAGUAAGACUAAUACCCAAUGACAUCCCACGAAGACAUCUGAAUGGGAUUAAAGAUUUAUCGGUGAUGGAUGGGGAUGCGUCUGAUUAGCUUGUUGGCGGGGUAACGGCCCACCAAGGCAACGAUCAGUAGGGGUUCUGAGAGGAAGGUCCCCCACAUUGGAACUGAGACACGGUCCAAACUCCUACGGGAGGCAGCAGUGAGGAAUAUUGGUCAAUGGGCGAGAGCCUGAACCAGCCAAGUAACGUGCAGGAUGACGGCCCUAUGGGUUGUAAACUGCUUUUAUAAGGGAAUAAAGUGGGUCUCGUGAGACUUUUUGCAUGUACCUUAUGAAUAAGGACCGGCUAAUUCCGUG